GUUCUUUGAUAUGCUGAAUCUAACCAUGUAUUUAGAUUUUGGAUAUUGGACCAUAAUAGGUAAAUGUCCAAUUUAAAAUUUUUAGGUUUUUAAGUUUAAGUUCUUAGACCACAUUCAUUCUGUGUCAGAAACCUAUGUUGUGUCAACUAUUUAAUCACAAUCCGAAUUCAGAGCUGUAUCAAGCUUUAAUGUUGUGUCCAUACUAGCCCCAAC
rnacentral:lncRNA from 1 species